UUUAUAACAUAAACAUGUCUUUUCCUUAAUUCAUUUACUAAUUAGAUAUUAUCACAAAUCUUUCGUUUAAACAUUUUAAAACAAGCGGAAACAAAUGUGUAAAACUUCAACCACUGCCCGAUCCCGACGUCACUAGUUAUGAGCCACUAAAAUACAAUCUGAUAUUGUCUACUCAAUACAAGAUUAGCCUGAGAAAAAUAAAUACUAAUAGAUAUGAAGGAUAAAAGCAAGGUUGCGGACGCCGUGCAGCUACCUUGCUAAUUCCGGAAUACUCUGAAGGUAAGGAACAACUCUCACUCGGAUGCUCUGGCACCUGAAUCUGCACACAAGGUGCAGGGAGUAAUGUGAGUAUGCCAACUCAUUAAGUAACAAUUAUAAAUAAAGGUGAGUGCAGUGACGAGCAUUUAAAAUCAUAUACAUCUCAUAACAUAGAAUCUCAAUGUAAAUAACAGAGUCAAAUUAGUAAUUCAAUUUUCGAACAUCUCGUAAAAAUUCCAGUUUCAGUGAAAGUUAUUUAAAAUAUUUGUUCAACAUUUUUCAACAGAGGCUCAGUAUAAAAGAAGAGUGAAAACAGUAAUUUCAUAAAACAAGCCCCUCGGGCCUCGGGCAAAGUAUCACUCAUAUAUAUAUAGCCCCUCGGGCAAGCCUCUUAGUCAUUCGUGACUCAAAUCUCAUCAAUCAGCACUCCCGCUAAAUAGAUAUCUCAUAAUAACCGAUGCGGCGUGCGGUCCGAUCCAUAAAUAGGGUUCUAGGGUCUUCCUAAGGAAACCUCUAUAUUUCUCUAGAACCUUCGUACAAGUGUAUAAAUAAUUAGAACAUUUCUAAGGAAGUUCUCCAUAGUUCUAGAAUAUUCCACCAAGAUCUAAUCCCUAACUUAUGUAACCAUUCCAUAUGACAAAAAUAUAUGCCAAGUAACACCUACGUGGCAAGAUGAUGUGGCGGGUCAUGACAUACAGCUGCAAUUCCUAAAAAAAUGGAGAAACGGCAGCCCACCCCAAUAGUCAGAAGUUUAGUUUUCUUCUAAAGAUUCGAAUUGAGUGACAAAAAAACGUUCGGCAUUUUGCAGCGUUCAAGGUGCGCAAAAUGGAUUCCAAAAGCAACAAACCUGUAGCGAAGCACUGAUCCAAUCCCCUCAUGAAUGCCGUAUGUGAACCAGUUAAAUCGCACAUUUAAUUCGAAUCAAGGAACGGAAUUCGUUGAACAUAGAAGAAAGGAUAUGAAAGCAAAGUAUUUUCUUUUUCCCAAAGACACUACAGGUGGAAGUUUCAUGGUUAAGAUUACUCUUCUCAAAUUAUAUCUUUCAGCCUCAGCAACGUUACUGAAUGCAUUCAAAUUUCUUUUUGAACUUGAAUUGCAACCCACCCAUGAAGUAGAAGAGGAAAUCUUCCUCGGACGAUGACGAGAUUUGUAGCAUUAAGGUAUUGAACUUGUGUAUAUACUCCCGAAUUGUGGCCUUUGUCGGAGCUCUUUUAGCUUCUGCCAGUAUGCCACCUCGCGUGCAGCCCGUGCAUGCACCACCAUACUGCUUUCACUUUAGGACCUUCACGUUGAUUCCUUCUGCAAGUACCAAUCCCUUGGUAAUUCCGAUCAUGGUUCCCUACAAAACUUCCUCUAGCAAUCUCUUGUAUUCUUUCUAACAUUCCUCAGUCAUAGCCUUUACUCUGAUAUCACGUUGUCACGUCCAUAGUCUUAAAAUAAUCGCACGUGCGGCACUUGACAACUCUCUCACGAUCUUGCACAACUUGCUCAUGUUCUUGCUAUGUCAAGUCAGCCUUACCACACUCAAGAUCACCAAGAGAAUGGAAGAAAGAACACUUGAGAAUUGCUAAAGGAAGCUUGGUAUUGGAGAGAACUUGAAUUAUUUGCUUGGUUGAUGA
rnacentral:lncRNA from 1 species